UGGGGAAUUUUGGACAAUGGGCGAAAGCCUGAUCCAGCAAUGCCGCGUGUGUGAAGAAGGCCUUCGGGUUGUAAAGCACUUUUGUCCGGAAAGAAAUCCUUGGCUCUAAUACAGUCGGGGGAUGACGGUACCGGAAGAAUAAGCACCGGCUAACUACGUGCCAGCAGCCGCGGUAAUACGUAGGGUGCAAGCGUUAAUCGGAAUUACUGGGCGUAAAGCGUGCGCAGGCGGUUUGCUAAGACCGAUGUGAAAUCCCCGGGCUCAACCUGGGAACUGCAUUGGUGACUGGCAGGCUAGAGUAUGGCAGAGGGGGAUAGAAUUCCACGUGUAGCAGUGAAAUGCGUAGAGAUGUGGAGGAAUACCGAUGGCGAAGGCAGCCCCCUGGGCCAAUACUGACGCUCAUGCACGAAAGCGUGGGGAGCAAACAGGAUUAGAUACCCUGGUAGUCCACGCCCUAAACGAUGUCAACUAGUUGUUGGGGAUUCAUUUCCUUAGUAACGUAGCUAACGCGUGAAGUUGACCGCCUGGGGAGUACGGUCGCAAGAUUAAAACUCAAAUGAAUUGACGGGGUCAUAGCUGUUUCCU
rnacentral:rRNA from 1 species